rnacentral:misc_RNA from 1 species
CCUCUUACGACACCAACUGGAAGAAAAAGGAUGGCUAUAUCCUAUACUGCCGUAGUCAUACAGCAGAUGUUUUUGACAAACUAUAUUAAUUUUAACUUUAUAAUAUUUUUGUUCUUAUUUCGUCAACUUUUCAAAGAGAAAUCAACUUAUCAGAUGCACGAACAGAAGGACGAAGGGAUCGGAGAAAUUUACUUUAGGGCAGAUUUUACUUAGUCAUACUCAGUUGGGAUGAGAUAGCUGGCACUGCCACCAGGCGACAGAUUGUCGCGACCGCGCCUCUGACAGCCACCAAUAUCUUCACAAA